UACAGAGGUCCCAAGCGUUGUUCGGAUUCACUGGGCGUAAAGGGUGCGUAGGUGGCAGGGUAAGUUUGAUGUGAAAUCUCCGAGCUCAACUCGGAAACUGCAUUGAAUACUAUCCUGCUUGAGGAUUGGAGGGGAGACUGGAAUUCUCGGUGUAGCAGUGAAAUGCGUAGAGAUGCGGAGGAACACCGAUGGCGAAGGCAGCCCCCUGGGCCAACACUGACGCUCAGGCACGACAGCAUGGGGAGCGAACGGG
rnacentral:rRNA from 1 species